rnacentral:sRNA from 1 species
UUAAAUGUGCCCGUACCCGCCCCGUUGCAUCCCUAUACAGGCCUGGCCCGCGGGCUUCAAGCCCGAUUGACACCCCUAGUGGCAUAGAAUGAUUUACAAGGAUUUUUAAAAAGGGUUAGCAUGGUUUACAAUCUUUUUUUAAGUAUAAGUAAGUGGUAUUGGAAUGAUUUACAGGAGAUUUUAAAAGCUUAUAAAAGGGUAAAACAUGAUUUACAAUCGUUUUUAAAGCAUAAGUAAGUGGCAUAGAAUGAUUUACAAGGGAUUUUAAAAGUGUUUGUAUGGUUUACAAUCGUUUUAAAGCAUAAGUAUGUGACAUUGAAUGAUUUACAAGGGAUUUUAAAAGGGGUUAACCUAAUUUACAAUCGUUUUUAAAGCAUAAGUAAGUGUCAAAGAAUGAUUUACAAGGGAUUUUAAAAAAGUUUUGCAUGGUUUACAAUCGUUUUAAAAAAAUAAGUAAGUGGUAUAGAAUGAUUUACAAGGAUUUUAAAAACGUAUAAAAGGGUAAAACAUGAUUUACAAGAGUUUUUAAAGAGUUUUAAAAGGAUUUACAAGGAUUUUAAACCUUUGUAAAUCCUUUUAAAACUCUUAUAAAA